GAUGAACGCUGGCGGCGUGCUUAACACAUGCAAGUCGAACGAUGAAGCCCAGCUUGCUGGGUGGAUUAGUGGCGAACGGGUGAGUAACACGUGAGUAACCUGCCCUUAACUCUGGGAUAAGCCUGGGAAACUGGGUCUAAUACCGGAUAGGAGCGUCCACCGCAUGGUGGGUGUUGGAAAGAUUUAUCGGUUUUGGAUGGACUCGCGGCCUAUCAGCUUGUUGGUGAGGUAAUGGCUCACCAAGGCGACGACGGGUAGCCGGCCUGAGAGGGUGACCGGCCACACUGGGACUGAGACACGGCCCAGACUCCUACGGGAGGCAGCAGUGGGGAAUAUUGCACAAUGGGCGCAAGCCUGAUGCAGCGACGCCGCGUGAGGGAUGACGGCCUUCGGGUUGUAAACCUCUUUCAGUAGGGAAGAAGCGAAAGUGACGGUACCUGCAGAAGAAGCACCGGCUAACUACGUGCCAGCAGCCGCGGUAAUACGUAGGGUGCGAGCGUUAUCCGGAAUUAUUGGGCGUAAAGAGCUCGUAGGCGGUUUGUCGCGUCUGUCGUGAAAGUCCGGGGCUUAACCCCGGAUCUGCGGUGGGUACGGGCAGACUAGAGUGCAGUAGGGGAGACUGGAAUUCCUGGUGUAGCGGUGGAAUGCGCAGAUAUCAGGAGGAACACCGAUGGCGAAGGCAGGUCUCUGGGCUGUAACUGACGCUGAGGAGCGAAAGCAUGGGGAGCGAACAGGAUUAGAUACCCUGGUAGUCCAUGCCGUAAACGUUGGGCACUAGGUGUUGGGACCAUUCCACGGUUUCCGCGCUGCAGCUAACGCAUUAAGCACUCCGCCUGGGGAGUACGACCGCAAGGUUGAAACUCAAAGGAAUUGACGGGGGCCCGCACAAGCGGUGGAGCAUGUGGAUUAAUUCGAAGCAACGCGAAGAACCUUACCAAGGCUUGACAUGUUCCCGAUCGCCGUAGAGAUACGAGUUUCCCCCUUCGGGGCGGGUUCACAGGUGGUGCAUGGUUGUCGUCAGCUCGUGUCGUGAGAUGUUGGGUUAAGUCCCGCAACGAGCGCAACCCUUGAGCCAUGUUGCCAGCACGUAAUGGUGGGGACUCUAGGGAGACUGCCGGGGUCAAAUCGGAGGAAGGUGAGGAUAACGUCAAAUCAUCAUGCCCCUUAUGUCUUGGGCUUCACGCCUGCUACAAUGGCCGGUACAAUGGGUUGCGAUACUGUGAGGUGGAGCAAAACCCAAAAAGCCGGUCUCAGUUCGGAUUGGGGUCUGCAACUCGACCCCAUGAAGUCGGAGUCGCUAGUAAUCGCAGAUCAGCAACGCUGCGGUGAAUACGCCCAUGAAGUGGAGUCGUAAGUAAUCGCAGAUGCGAAAGU
rnacentral:rRNA from 1 species